UACGAAGGGGGCUAGCGUUGCUCGGAAUCACUGGGCGUAAAGCGCACGUAGGCGGCUUCUUAAGUCAGGGGUGAAAUCCUGGAGCUCAACUCCAGAACUGCCUUUGAUACUGAGGAGCUUGAGUCCGGGAGAGGUGAGUGGAACUGCGAGUGUAGAGGUGAAAUUCGUAGAUAUUCGCAAGAACACCAGUGGCGAAGGCGGCUCACUGGCCCGGUACUGACGCUGAGGCACGAAAGCGUGGGGAGCAAACAGGG
rnacentral:rRNA from 1 species